rnacentral:rRNA from 1 species
UACGUAGGGUGCGAGCGUUUGUCCGGAAUUACUGGGCGUAAAGAGCUCGUAGGCGGCUUGUCGCGUCGGUUGUGAAAGCCCGGGGCUUAACCCCCGGGUCUGCAGUCGAUACGGGGCAGGCUAGAGUUCGGUAGGGGAGAUCGGAAUUCCUGGUGUAGCGGUGAAAUGCGCAGAUAUCAGGAGGAACACCGGUGGCGAAGGCGGAUCUCUGGGCCGAUACUGACGCUGAGGAGCGAAAGCGUGGGGGGGCGAACAGG